CCAAUAGUACACAGAGGCUUCGGCCGAAGUGAUAGAGAACGUAAGCAGACUUCCAAGAAAACCUUCUAGCGUUAAUCAUUAUGGUACCCGUACCGCAAACCGACACAGGUAGUCAAGGAGAGAAUCCUGAGGUGCUCGAGUGAAUCAUGGCUAAGGAACUCGGCAAAUUAACCCUGUAACUUCGGGAAAAGGGGUGCCCUCAGCAAUGAGGGUCGCAGAGAAAUGGCCCAGGCGACUGUUUAACAAAAACACAUGGCUAUGCGAAAUCGAAAGAUGAAGUAUAUGGCCUGACACCUGCCCGGUGCUGGAAGGUUAAGGGGGGACGUUAGUCGCAAGACAAAGCGUUGAACUGAAGCCCCAGUAAACGGCGGCCGUAACUAUAACGGUCCUAAGGUAGCGAAAUUCCUUGUCGGGUAAGUUCCGACCUGCACGAAUGGUGUAACGAUCUGGGCGCUGUCUCAGCCAUGAGCUCGGUGAAAUUGUAGUCACGGUGAAGAUGCCGUGUACCCGCAACGGGACGGAAAGACCCCAUGCACCUUUACUAUAGCUUCACAUUGACAUUGGGUAAAUGAUGUGUAGGAUAGGUGGGAGACAUUGAUCCCGGGCCGCUAGGUUCGGGGGAGUCAGCGGUGAAAUACCACCCUUUAUUUUCUUGAUGUCUAACCUCUAACAAGGGACAGUGUGUGGUGGGUAGUUUGACUGGGGUGGUCGCCUCCGAAAGUGUACCGGAGGCUUUUCAAAGGUAUGCUCAGUACGCUUGGUAACCGUACGUGGAGUGCAAUAGCAUAAGCGUGCUUGACUGUGAGACCGACGGGUCGAGCAGGGACGAAGGUUGGAUAUAGUGAUCCGGUGGUUCUGUAUGGAAGGGCCAUCGCUCAAAGGAUAAAAGGUACGCUGGGAUAACAGGCUGAUCCCCCCAAGAGCUCACAUCGACGGGGAGGUUUGGCACCUCGAUGUCGGCUCGUCACAUCCUGGGGCUGGAGAAGGUCCCAAGGGUUGGGCUGUUCGCCCAUUAAAGUGGCACGCGAGCUGGGUUCAGAACGUCGUGAGACAGUUCGGUCCCUAUCUGUUGUGGGCGUAGGAAGUUUGAGAGGAUCUGACCUUAGUACGAGAGGACCGGGUUGGACUAACCGCUGGUGUACCAGUUGUGGCGUCAGCUGCACCGCUGGGUAGCUAUGUUGGGACGGGAUAAGCGCUGAAAGCAUCUAAGCGCGAAACCCACCUCAAGAUGAGAUUUCCAUUAAGGGACGUCAGAGAUUAUGACGUUGAUAGGCUGCAGGUGUAAAGUCAGUAAUGGCAAAGCUGAGCAGUACUAAUAACCC
rnacentral:rRNA from 1 species